rnacentral:lncRNA from 1 species
AGAGAUUCUGCACUGCAAGUCUUUGAUUAUGAAGCCAGAACCUGGAAAUACCCGGUCCAGACAGCGACCCCAGCUUGGAGAUCUGUGUCCAUCCACAAGAGCCUUUGGGACAGUGGGAGAUAAAGGUGCUACUGAAGCGUUAUAUAACAUUUUCACCAUAACAAGAACCAUAGCAGAAUGUGGAGACAUGACAUGGCUGCCUAUCUCCUGGCUUCACCAGAAGCCGUGAGCUACAGCAGGAUUCCCAUCUACACUGGAUCCAGCGUGCACGGAUCCCACACGUUUGCUGAGGUUCUGAGGUGGAAGGAGGGUGAUCAUGACCAAGGACUUCACUGGCAAAGAGGAAGCACAGAUGUGGAGCCAGCCCGGUCAGGACAGACUUCUUGGGCUUUGGGCAGCAGGAAAUGUCACAGGAGAUGGAGGAGGUAGAGAAAGGAGGGCUGGGCUUGGGCUUGGGUGGAAGUCCUUUGCCUGCUCCUUGCAGAGCUGGCUGGGGUAAGUGCUUGUGGCAUUUAGGCAGCUUUGCUUUGUAGACUAAUCAAUAGCCUGUGACAUUAAAAUGUUUGAGUACAAUAAGACAUUUUCUGCUUCGGAUGGCCUGUGACUCGUCGGGAUCAGGAUCCAGCCGUGGGUCUCACACUGGUUCUUGCAGCAAAAGUUCAUGACCUAUGACGAGGGUUAAUAUCAGGUGCCUGAGUCGAUGUUUGCACAGCCUGCUUGCUGACCACUCCCAAAGCCUCCAGUCCCAGUUGAUCUUCCCAUCUCCCCUCCGCUUGCACGGAACCAGAGAUUCCAUGUUCAUUUCUCUCACAGUGGCAAUUCCACUGAUCCCUGGCCUUCUGUCUCCUCCUUCUCAGGGAUUUUUAUCUCUAUCAAUCAACAGUGUGUGUUCGAAACUCUAAUUGUGUUUUCAGAGUUGAUGGAAUCUCUAGGUGAUGGUAGUCACUCAUCACCUUCGAAAGGGCAAGUUCCUCAUGGAACCAGCCAGGUCAACCAGGAACACUCCCCUCCUCAGUGGCUUCCCACACUCCCAAACUGCCGUUGGCAUCUGAGUGGUCCAUCUAGUGAAACGCCAUGAAGCCCUACAGUGAGUUUGGGCAUGAGGAGUAAUGUCAUAGACAACACAGAAUGGAUCAUGCACAGGGCUCCUGGGAAUGGGCAUGCUCAGGACUGCUGUCUACUUGGAAAGUCCUGGCAUUCACAUCUGGGCAGCACAUCAAGCAUAUGUCAUGGGGCUGUGGCUUCAGCAGCUGCCACGUUCUCCCCCAGCAAUGCCAAGGGCAUCCUUCAUCCCAUAGAAUGUUCACAUCAUGAGCUCCUACAUCCUCUGGAUGCAAAAGCCGAGACUCUCGAAGCCCUCAGCCAGCUCUGCAGCCACAGCACAGCCAACUUGUCCCUUGGGUUAUGAGCUGUGUGUGGUUGUUCUCCAAUAAUCCCAGUGCCCAGGGAAGCUGAGGGAAGAGGAUUGCCUUGGAAACAACCUGGGCUGCACAAGGAGAUCCUGGACAGCU